rnacentral:rRNA from 1 species
CCUGAGAAACCUAAAAGAUCGAAUGGGGAGAUUCAUCGUCAGCGCAUUUAGUAUAUAUUCAAGUUAUGAUGUGAGUUACUUUCGGGUAUUGCUUAUACAUUCUUGUUUAUUUAAUUGCUAGAUGUUGUCGGCGUGCACUUCUCCCCUAGUAGGACGUCGCGACCCGUUGGGUGUCGGUCUACGGCCCGAGUGGGAGCCUUUGAUAUCUUUAAAAAUAUUAAAGACCCUCGGUGUUUCCUGACCGGCUGCUCGGCGGUAUUCGUACGGUAUUAAGCCGCAUUUAUUUGCGUUUUCACCCAUCGCAAGCGCGGCUAAUUUCUGAUAGUACGGACCUAGUGCCGUCGUUGGAAUUGGCCAGCUGUUGGUUGUAUGGUGUUCUGAAACAGGCUAAAAAUAAUUACCGU